rnacentral:rRNA from 1 species
CCGACACGGGGAGGUAGUGACGAAAAAUAACAAUACAGGACUCUAACGAGGCCCUGUAAUUGGAAUGAGCACAGUCUAAACCUUUUAACGAGUAUCCAUUGGAGGGCAAGUCUGGUGCCAGCAGCCGCGGUAAUUCCAGCUCCAACAGUGUAUGCUAAAGUUGUUGCGGUUGAAAAGCUCGUAGUUGGAUCUUGGGUGGGCGCCGCCGGUCCGUCGCAAGGCGUGUCACUGGCGGCGCUCUCCUCGUCUUCGGUUCUCCGUCGGUGCUCUUGACUGAGUGUCGGCGGUGGCCGAUAAGUUUACUUUGAAAAAAUUAGAGUGUUCAAAGCAGGCUCUUCGCCUGUAUAGUGUUGCAUGGAAUAAUGGAAUAGGACCUCGGUUCUAUUUUGUUGGUUUUCGGAGCGCGAGGUAAUGAUUAAGAGGGACAGACGGGGGCGUCCGUACUCUGCCGUUAGAGGUGAAAUUCUUGGAUCGGCGGAAGACGAACUACUGCGAAAGCAUUCGCCAAGAAUGUUUUCUUUAAUCAAGAGCGAAAGUCAGAGGUUCGAAGACGAUCAGAUACCGUCCUAGUUCUGACUAUAAACGAUGCCAACUAGCGAUCGGGAGGCGUUACCAUGACGACCUUCCCGGCAGCUUCCGGGAAACCAAAGUCUUUGGGUUCUGGGGGAAGUAUGGUUGCAAAGCUGAAACUUAAAGGAAUUGACGGAAGGGCACCACCAGGAGUGGAGCCUGCGGCUUAAUUUGACUCAACACGGGGAAACUCACCCGGCCCGGACACAGGUAGGAU